rnacentral:tRNA from 1 species
AAGAUUUUAAGUUAAUUAAACUAAUAGCCUUCAAAGCUUUAAAUAAUAAUAUAAUUUUUUAAAUCUUA